rnacentral:lncRNA from 1 species
GCUAAUGAGUGCCAUCCAUUCCUCUGCAAUAGUUGAGGGACCUGAUUGGCAAAAAUGCCUUUCUUGCAACUCUCAAACACAGCGUAUAUGGCGUAUACAAGCAGGUGGGCCACAUGAUUGCUGUCUGUCUGGUACAUGGGGUGUAGAGCCACAAUUUUUUUCAUAGAGGCUAUACAGGCACGUGUGUGGCCUACAACCUCCUGUGCCAGAACUGAAAGAAAUUGUGGAAUAUGACUUCAGAGAGAAGUUGGAGAAGAUCCAGUUAGCACAAACUGUUGACGAGGCACAGGAAGCGGUCAUGGAGGCCUCCGAACAACUGGUCAUGUUGGGUUCAGUUCGAUACAUUCGUACAUUGGAGGAGAGGGAUGCCCUGGUGGAGUCAGCCACAAAGUUCUACUUAGAAAGCAGGCUACGGGAUGCUCUAGAGCAAUUCAAAGAGGGUCUGGAGUGUCUAGGUCUCCUGCCUUACAUGAAUAGACACUCAAGCCUCUUCAGAGAGGUUUUCAUCUAUGCUGAGCCUCUUUUGGCCAAAGACAGCUUCUCUCUGCAAAGCAGAGCUCUCCCCACCUGGUACCAAUCAAAAAGCAAUAGAGAGCAGAGUCAUAUGUUUCUGGAGGGACUGGCUGCUGGAGGUGGAUAGUUAAUGCAAAACCAUGAUCAUUAAAGUAACACGUCAAUAAAAU